AGAGUUUGAUCAUGGCUCAGAACGUACGCUGGCGGCACGCCUAACACAUGCAAGUCGAACGAAGUAGCAAUACUUAGUGGCAGACGGGUGAGUAACAUGUAGGUAUCUGCCCUUUGGCCUGGAAUAACACGAGGAAACUUGUGCUAAUACCGGAUAAGUCUUUACGGAGAAAGCUUUAUGCACCAUUGGAUGAGCCUGCACUAGAUUAGUUUGUUGGUGGGGUAAUGNCCUACCAAGACUGUGAUCUAUAGCUGAUUUGAGAGGAUGAUCAGCCACAUUGGGACUGAGNCNCGGCCCAAACUCCUACGGGAGGCAGCAGUGGGGAAUCUUGCACAAUGGAGGAAACUCUGAUGCAGCGAUGCCGCGUGAGUGAAGAAGGCCCUUGGG
rnacentral:rRNA from 1 species